rnacentral:sRNA from 2 species
CCGGAUGGAACGCCUAAUCCUGCCGCCGUCCGGAAUUCCGCACCCACUCACCGUGUGGCAGGAGCGGGGGACCCAGGUAAGCCGCCGACCGGAGUGAUCCGGCCGGCUCGGGGUGAAGUCGCGCCAGGCGCGGCCGGGCAUCUCCAGCCCGAACCCGACAGCUCACCUCGUAGGCGCCGGAGAGGAAAUUC